rnacentral:rRNA from 1 species
GAUGAACGCUGGCGGCGUGCCUAAUACAUGCAAGUCGAGCGAACGGACGAGAAGCUUGCUUCUCUGAUGUUAGCGGCGGACGGGUGAGUAACACGUGGAUAACCUACCUAUAAGACUGGGAUAACUUCGGGAAGCCGGAGCUAAUACCGGAUAAUAUUUUGAACCGCAUGGUUCAAAAGUGAAAGACGGUCUUGCUGUCACUUAUAGAUGGAUCCGCGCUGCAUUAGCUAGUUGGUAAGGUAACGGCUUACCAAGGCAACGAUGCAUAGCCGACCUGAGAGGGGGAUCGGCCCCACUGGAGCUGAGAGACGGUCCAGACUCCUACGGGAGGCAGCAGUAGGGAAUCUUCCGCAAUGGGCGAAAGCCUGACGGAGCAACGGCGCGUGAGUGAUGAAGGUCUUCGGAUCGUAAAACUCUGUUAUUAGGGAAGAACAUAUGUGUAAGUAACUGUGCACAUCUUGACGGUACCUAAUCAGAAAGCCACGGCUAACUACGU